rnacentral:rRNA from 1 species
AGUGAACGCUGGCGAUAGGCCUAACACAUGCAAGUCGAACGGCAGCACAGUAAGAGCUUGCUCUUACGGGUGGCGAGUGGCGGGCGGGUGAGGAAUACAUCGGAAUCUACUUUUUCGUGGGGGAUAACGUAGGGAAACUUACGCUAAUACCGCAUACGACCUACGGGUGAAAGCAGGGGAUCUUCGGACCUUGCGCGAUUGAAUGAGCCGAUGUCGGAUUAGCUAGUUGGCGGGGUAAAGGCCCACCAAGGCGACGAUCCGUAGCUGGUCUGAGAGGAUGAUCAGCCACGCUGGAACUGAGACACGGUCCAGACUCCUACGGGAGGCACCAGUGGGGAAUAUUGGACAAUGGGCGCAAGCCUGAUCCAGCCAUACCGCGUGGGUGAAGAAGGCCUUCGGGUUGUAAAGCCCUUUUGUUGGGAAAGAAAAGCAGCAGGUUAAUACCCCGCUGUUCUGACGGUACCCAAAGAAUAAGCACCGGCUAACUUCGUG